ensembl:lncRNA ZNF436-AS1 ZNF436 antisense RNA 1
CGCGCCGCCCCGCGCCGGGGCGACUCGGGAGUGCGGUCGGCAGUAGAGCCUGGCGGUGUCUUGGCUUCGGCGCUUUAACCCUGUAGGGGCGUGCGACUGCGUCCUUCUCAAGGGGGCGCCCCUCGAGCGGCGGGCUGAGUGGCGUCCAGCGGCGGGGAGGCGAAAACCCUGGGGGACUCAGAAGCGGGUGGCGGUGUAGGGCGUGUAAGGAGGAGAUAGCCAGGCCCCUGCGGGGGGGGCGGGCCCUCCUUAGCGUCCCAGAGGGCUUGUCUGCUACAGGGGCUCCCAGCGGCCUCCCGCACCGAAGGGACCCUGGGCGUCUGAGGCCCUGAUCCGGGCGGGCCUUCAGGAUGUUAGCAGUCCCUGUCCGGUUGAAGGUAGGAAGCCGAAAACCCGAGUGGGGGACGAACAGACUUACCUCCUGUCCCGCAAAAGAUCCACUAGAUCGUCGUCUCCAAAACCUGAGAGACCGCGAACGGGUUCCAGAGCCGCAGCGUUCUCUCAGACCUGGCGUUCAGGAAGAUUCUAGAGAGCACGGGCAGGUCCCGGAGGUCUCAGACCCGCAGGCCUGCGGGGCGGGGGCGGGGUGGCGCCCAGGACGACUCCCCGGGCUCAGCUUGGCUGCCUGCCUCCUUCUCCUUCAGCUGGACUCAGGGUUGGGGUCACUGGAGGAGGAGGUGGCUUCCUGCCCCAUUGUUCUGGACUGCAGUGUUUCUUGGGAAUACUUACUGUAUGUGGAUUUUCAGUAACCAACUUGGAAAGCUGUAUUUGUUCCCAUGAUUCAGCAAACAAUGAGUACCUACUGUGUGUAGAAGCAGCAGGACAGCCUGUCAUCACUGGGAAAGAGGCCAGAAGAGCCGUUUGGCCAGGGUCUCCAAUUUAGGCUUUCAACAUUAUCUCUAAAGAAGGUUAUACAUUAUGUCGGCUCCACUGGCUGAUGGGAUCAAAGACCCUCCUUGUAUAUCCUUAAACCUGUACUCUAUUACCAGGCCACUGUGCCUGUGGAGCACUGUAAGUUCCUACCUUUUAAUAAAUUUUAUAAUUAUCUUGUGAGCA